GACACUAUGGCCGAGUGGUUAAGGCGCUUCCCUGCUAAGGAAGUGGGUUCUGCCCGCGCGAGUUCGAAUCUCGUUGGUGUCG
rnacentral:tRNA from 1 species